rnacentral:rRNA from 2 species
GAUGAACGCUGGCGGCGUGCCUAAUACAUGCAAGUCGAACGAGUUCUGAUUAUUGAAAGGUGCUUGCAUCUUGAUUUAAUUUUGAACGAGUGGCGGACGGGUGAGUAACACGUGGGUAACCUGCCCUUAAGUGGGGGAUAACAUUUGGAAACAGAUGCUAAUACCGCAUAAAUCCAAGAACCGCAUGGUUCUUGGCUGAAAGAUGGCGCAAGCUAUCGCUUUUGGAUGGACCCGCGGCGUAUUAGCUAGUUGGUGAGGUAACGGCUCACCAAGGCAAUGAUACGUAGCCGAACUGAGAGGUUGAUCGGCCACAUUGGGACUGAGACACGGCCCAAACUCCUACGGGAGGCAGCAGUAGGGAAUCUUCCACAAUGGACGCAAGUCUGAUGGAGCAACGCCGCGUGAGUGAAGAAGGCUUUCGGGUCGUAAAACUCUGUUGUUGGAGAAGAAUGGUCGGCAGAGUAACUGUUGUCGGCGUGACGGAUCCAACCAGAAAGCCACG